CAGGUUGUUUUCACUUCCAGCAGUUGUCAAUUAGGAUUAGCAUACAUAAAAUUACUUGUACAAUUAUAAGCUUCUACCCUACCAUCAAGCUCUGAACCGCUUCAAGAUGCAUCCAGUUCUAUUUUGCAGCAGAACAUAUUUACAUCCAAUUUGCUUUUGAUCACCAGUCAGGUGAGGAAGAUACCUGCAGUGGGUGACCUUAUUGCUGAGUUCAUACACAGCCUCAGUCACGAGUACAUUCUUCAGUACUGCUUCAUUUGACAUUAGAGAAACAAUUGGUGACACAGAUUUGCACCCGUGAGACUUCAUUUUAAUAAGCAAUCAUAUUUUCUAACAUAUUUUUCAUGUAUUGUUUACAUUUAAGACUCCAAAGUUAGGGAAGCCUGAAGGAAGGCAUACAAAACCCCAUCUGAUGUUUUUAUACAAUACCUAGUAAGAAAAAAAAAAUUGAAAUGCUAUCUUCAUCCAACAGGGGAUUGAGAACAAUAAAUGAAUGCUUCCAUGGGAUAGCAUGAGUCAUUUUUCAUCACUUUCUAGAAUUGCAACUGUAAAAAUCAAAGCUGCAAAUUCCAGGUCUUCAAUAAAUUUUUUUUUUCAGCCUUGUUCCCUUGUGUGUAUAUUUUCCAUGAUCAGCAUUGCCUGGAAUGAAAGAUGAUGCAGCAGGUGAAAAUGAGAAAUCAUCUACCUUGACCUGUUUUGUCCUUCAAAGGCCGAAAAGAUUUGAACCAUUGCUUCCAAGGAGCAUCUUCUUGUUGCUCAAUCCAUGACAAGAAACAACUAUCCAACAAACAAAAGAAGUUGACAUAUAACAACUGAUAUCUCACCGGUACAAAUCUGAAAUUUGCAGCUUGAACAACUGGCCAUACGCCUCCUUCCAAAAUCAGAGCUGGGAGAUAAUCCCUCUUCAGGUCUUCCUUUAUUUGAGGAACACUCUUUCCAGUAGAAAAACCCAUAUAUGUGAAAAAUAUAAGUAAAUCCAGUGGCCCAAACAGGAAACCAUCAAUUGCUACUUUAGUAGUAACAAAUCGAAAGGAAUUUGGACGCAGUAGAAGUCGAAACCUUAAAAAUUGGUCUAACCCUUCAUACCUAAGAAUGAUGAACGAGAAACAAAUGAGUGAAAUAUAUUUUAUACACAACACCAGCAAAGUUCAACCCUCCACUCAUUGGUAUGAUGCUCCAUAAAUUAAAAAUCUCUUGAAGCUAUCAGAGCCCUAGGAUCGACGACUUUGAGAAGAAUACUUUCAGUUCUCUUUUUCCCUUUUCACUUUUGACUAAUGAAUUGCAUGCUUAAUAGUCUUCACAAGUGCAAGGUACCCACUAAAAUUGGAGAUACCUGAACCCGUAUAGUAUAUACUACCUGAAUCUAUCCUCUAUACAAGUAUUAUAUCUUAAACUCAAGCCUAUCCUAAUAAGAUUUAGUCAGGGUCAAGAACUCUAAAAAAUCCACACAAAUGUGCUAAAGAAAGCAAGAGGAGAACUCACCAGAAGUGGCCGACUGGUCCAACAAAUCCAAAUCCAAACAAGCUUGUGGUUGCUACUCGUUUCCAAUUGAUCUUUAAUCCUUUUUCUUUGUCUUGUAACUCCUUUUGACAUUGCUUCUUCUUGGCAGUGUAUUUGGUGAUGGACUGGGCAGCUAUAUCGCCAAAACCCCAAAUAAAGCCUGAGCUAAUCACCUGCGUCUUAACUGGAUGCACCGCCAAGCAAUUCUGGUACCAUUUCCACAGCUUUAACAUGUCACCAGUAUAUAAUUAAAAAAGCUAGAAAAGAGAGAUUCUAGAUGCAGAAAAGGAAUCUAGACAAGGGAUUCAUCUUGGAUUCUUGGUGAAGGGAGGAACAUUUAGAAAGGUGUAUUUUUUUUUCUUUUUAAUCCAAUCUUUAAUUAAGUAACCUGUUUGAGAGUUUUUCGUUUCAAUCCCAUGGCUUCCGGGAAUUCUUUUUCCCAGGAAAGACUUAUUUUCCGGGAACUUCGUCUUCGGGACGGAAAAGAAGGACCAGUU
rnacentral:misc_RNA from 1 species